GAUGAACGCUGGCGGCGUGCUUAACACAUGCAAGUCGAACGGAAAGGCCCCGCCUUUGUGGGGUGCUCGAGUGGCGAACGGGUGAGUAACACGUGAGUAACCUGCCCUUGACUUUGGGAUAACUUUAGGAAACUGGGGCUAAUACCGGAUAGGAGCUCCUGCUGCAUGGUGGGGGUUGGAAAGUUUCGGCGGUGGGGGAUGGACUCGCGUCUUAUCAGGUUGGUGGUGGGGUAGUGGCUUACCAAGGCUUUGGGGGGUAGCCGGGCUGAGGGGGUGACCGGCCACAGUGGCCCUGAGAUGCGGCCCAGACUCCUACGGGGGGCAGCAGUGGGAUAUUUUGCACUAUGGGCGGACGCCUUAUGACGCAGCGCCGCGUGCGGGAUGGCGGCCUUCGGGUUGUACACCGCUUUCGCCUGUGGCGAAGCGUGAGUGACGGUACUGGGUGAAGAAGCACCGGCUAACUACGUG
rnacentral:rRNA from 1 species